rnacentral:rRNA from 1 species
GGGUGAGUAAAGCCUAGGAAUCUGCCUGGUAGUGGGGGAUAACGUUCGGAAACGGACGCUAAUACCGCAUACGUCCUACGGGAGAAAGCAGGGGACCUUCGGGCCUUGCGCUAUCAGAUGAGCCUAGGUCGGAUUAGCUAGUUGGUGAGGUAAUGGCUCACCAAGGCGACGAUCCGUAACUGGUCUGAGAGGAUGAUCAGUCACACUGGAACUGAGACACGGUCCAGACUCCUACGGGAGGCAGCAGUGGGGAAUAUUGGACAAUGGGCGAAAGCCUGAUCCAGCCAUGCCGCGUGUGUGAAGAAGGUCUUCGGAUUGUAAAGCACUUUAAGUUGGGAGGAAGGGCAUUAACCUAAUACGUUAGUGUUUUGACGUUACCGACAGAAUAAGCACCGGCUAACUCUGUGCCAGCAGCCGCGGUAAUACAGAGGGUGCAAGCGUUAAUCGGAAUUACUGGGCGUAAAGCGCGCGUAGGUGGUUUGUUAAGUUGGAUGUGAAAUCCCCGGGCUCAACCUGGGAACUGCAUUCAAAACUGACUGACUAGAGUAUGGUAGAGGGUGGUGGAAUUUCCUGUGUAGCGGUGAAAUGCGUAGAUAUAGGAAGGAACACCAGUGGCGAAGGCGACCACCUGGACUAAUACUGACACUGAGGUGCGAAAGCGUGGGGAGCAAACAGGAUUAGAUACCCUGGUAGUCCACGCCGUAAACGAUGUCAACUAGCCGUUGGGAGCCUUGAGCUCUUAGUGGCGCAGCUAACGCAUUAAGUUGACCGCCUGGGGAGUACGGCCGCAAGGUUAAAACUCAAAUG